rnacentral:lncRNA from 1 species
GUGAGGAUCCUUAGAACCGAAGGCACUUCGGGGUCGCGCCGCCUCUGCUAGGCUGUGGGCAGGCCCGGCGGCGGUUGCCUUUUGGCUUGGCGCGUUGAGCGACAGCCACGCGGACCUGGUCGCCGCCAGCUGCUCGAUAGCCCUGGGAAUCGCGGGGGUAUCCCGCCCGGGGGUUGGCGGGGCCUCGGAGAGCAGCUACCGGAGACUGGGAAAUGCGCGGCGCAGGGUUUUCCCACCACUACCCCCCUCCAGGAUAGCUAGAGCUCACGCGGAGCUAAGGAAGCCUUUCUGAUGCUCCUGAGCCUCGACUAUCCCUCUCGCCCCGGCGCUCCCACUUCACCCGGCUUGCCACCACCGGCAAAGUGCCUCGCACACAGGAGCGCAGCAAUAACAAGCACUGGCCAGCAUGCUGAGUUCAUAUGACACUGAAGAAUCAAUUCAGGUUUUGCCACGCUAGCACAUACUCUACUAGCUGAGCUGCAUCCUUGGCCAUUAUGGUCCAGAGCAGGAGGCAGAGACCUAACUAAGGAAGGCCAGCUCUGUCUGAGGUCUCCAGGCUCAUUAGAGGAUCCCACCUACCAGUGUCUAAUGAAGGAGAGCUAUUGUCAUGCCUGUUGCACACACAGCGAUAUCAAGCUGCUGAAAGCUGCAGCAGCAGAGUCUGGUAUUUCACAGCAACUGCUGAUGGAGCCUAUAUGAGCUGGAACUGCAGCUGCUGGCUGGAAUAAAGCAGUGAUGUGCCCGCCCUGGUGAUCAAGUCUCAGGUUUCUCUCAUGUCGGAGGAUAUGGAUGCCUGACUGAAAA